GUGGUUGACUGUGUGGCUGCUUCAGUUCAAGUCACUCGCUUUAUCAGACGGAAGUAUUACACCUUCUCAAAGGCAGUGACCCCGACUACACCGACACAUCCGCUCUACGCCUCACCUUAGGACCUCGCAGAAAUCUGGCAAUGAGCUUACAAAUAGAUUUUCUUGACAGAAAGAGACAAAACCAGUGUCAGCUGAAAUAGUGCUGUAGCCGCUGAUUCGCCUGAGCAAUCUUCUGUUAUCUCCUACAGGGCCAGAGCAGCACCGCUGGCUGUAAGCUCUCAGCAAAACACGUUUUCUUUCUCAGGGACAAAGCUACAAAGGAACAUGUCUUACUUUUAUGGGCCUUAAGGGUAGAAGAGUGGAGAUGUCUUGUGUUACACUUCUCACCAAGCGUUGUAGUCUUCCGAUCUUCUCCUGCCUUGUCUUGUCUGUCAAAGCAGCUUUUCUCAAGGAUGUCAUAAGGUCUGCUUGCUCCCUGGUAUAACGAUUAAGUUAUUAGCAUGCUGCAGCAUAUCAGCUUAUGGGACAUGAAUAUUGGCCAGAAAUCACCAACUGUCUCCGAGCCUACGGGUAAGAAUCACGACCUUUCUUUCUUUUCGCUGAACCAGGGGAUUUUUACCUUGAAAUACUAAUGGAGAUAUGCUUUGUGAGCACCUCUAGAAGGUCAAGCUGAGGCACAAAUUCACUGUAGGCAAAAUUCUAGAAAUUUCCCCAGACGAUCAGCAGACUGUGGUUUUUAUUUAGAAAAGGCUGUUUGUGCAAUGAGACAGCAAAGAAGUGUUUAAUGUUUUGGCUGCUGUGACAGCAUAAUCUCCCUAUUUUUGCAAUAAAUAAAAGAUAUCUUUAAAUCUUAUCAUUCGCUCCACAAGAAAACAGAUGGGUUUUUGCAUCACAAAAAAACAUACAAAAGCCUUUGGAACUGUGGCUAAAUCAGUCAAAUCAUGUGUGACUCCCCGACCUUGAAGAAGAGUGCUUGAAUGAGUCAGGAUGAAGUAGUGCUCCUUCAGUUUUAGGAGCAAGUCAUGCUUUUUCUUCAAAAAACUACUUCCAGACUGACCUCCAACUCUGACCUCAUGUUAUUUAUUAAGUUUCUCAGAUUCUCAUUUUUCCUGGGCUGUGGCUUCAUUUGACCUGUUCUCACAUCUCUGCAAAAACAAAGUUGUUGAGAAAAGAUUGUUAUAGCUUACCCAGCAUAGGAAAAAAAAACAUCUGAAUAAAGGUGGAAAUCACAAAUAACUUUGCACUGUUUCAGUUCACUUAAUACGUGUUAUCACUCAUUUCAGUCUCUCGAGCAUGAACUUUCUCAACUUCUAGAUGAACUGAAACCCUGGCAUCAUCUCCCUGGUCAAAACCGUGAGACCAUAAAAGCUGCAAUAUAGACGGAUGCACAUCAGCGCUGUUUCUACAAUAGAAGUCUAGUCAGACUGUCUCUUACCACCUGAGAAGGACAGCUCAGUCUUUGUCUCUUUUUUCUUUUAAAGAGUGUGGUUAGACAUGCUUAUGAACAGAUGGCCCUGCAACAUCUUCUCCACAUACAAAGACUUAUUUUACAGUUGUUUUUUUGUUUUCUUGUUUUUUAUUGAAAAUACACAACACUUUUGUCAUGUUCCCAGGUUUUUCUGGAUUGUUUGUUGUUGUUUCUCCUUCACUCCUCACCGCCAGGGCACAGUCUGGUCCUGUCCCCACCUCAGUGUUCACCUGUGCAGCCUACUCACCUGUCACCUAUAACGAAUAAUUACUCACCUGCCAUCCGUCAUCAAUGACUGCUCCCACGCUACUUAAGGCAUCAGUGGAGUCUGAUUCCUCGCUGGAUUGUUGUGCUACUUCCAUCAGUGUAACCUUGCCUGGUGAUUUCCUUGUGUCUUCUACUAGUACUCCUCGUUAACGUCAGGCUCUCUUCCUGUGUAUAGAUUUCCCUGGACCUUGGCCUGUUUCCCUUCCCUGUGGACCCCGAGUGAGAGUGAGUUUGGACUGGAUUAGUGUGUAGAUUGUUGUGAGUCACAGACUAUGUGAAGAAGAGUUUGGACCUUCCCCUGGCUGCCCUGGACCCCUUUUCCUCCCCCAGCACUGUAUAUAUGUAUAUAUAUAUAUAUCUCACCUGGUGACACCUGUGUAAAUAAACCACCUUUUGACUUUU